AGUGUAUCUGGGAGAAAUGUAUAAAAUAAUCUACAGCACAGGAGGCAGGUCAGUGCGGAAGGGAAGGCGCUCGCCUAAAACGAACAAUGCCAACAUUGAAGCCCUCGGUUGGAGUCUGCACAGUUGGAGAUCUUUGGUGCCAUUUUAGACAUCUUUGGAUUUCAUCAAUCAAACUGACUGCAAUUUUCCAUAAAAACCCUGAAUUUGGGUCAGAAAGUGGGCAAAGCAGAUAAAGAUCGUUCGAGCUGUCUUAUAAGAUGAUAAAUAGAUAUCCUUUCAGUUCAACAAUGCAAGAAGUGCAGUUUUGUAAUUCACUUCCAUUGGUUUUGAAUGCAGCGAAGAUUUUGCUGUCCACCCUCCUUCCGGCUCCUCUACUGGGCCGCAGGAGAGAGGAACGAUGCUCCGCAAUGGUGCCCGGAGCAUCAGCUGCCGCGGGGAGCACCGGGGCUCAUCCAAGUCGUGUGCGAGGCCAUGGUCCGGCUGGGAACAGUGGGGGUACGGCAGUAGGGGCCCCAGGCAGCUGCAGUGGGGCUGCGGGAGUUUUUGGGACACAGGAAGGAGAGAGACCACACGGUCUCCGGCCCCGGGCUGCUUAAAAAAUGCUUCUGGGUAUUUAUAACUCCUCAGCAGGAGCUUAUCAAGAGAUAUGCGGCAGUAGUUACACAAGAUUUUGGGGACAAGCCCCUCAUAUUCGGGUUGCAGUUAUAAUCAGGGAGAUGAAACAAGUAAUUUGCUCCUUAGGGAGCCUUUCACUCCUUGCUAAACAUCAAAAGCCACGCUAGAAACAGAUAAAAGAAUUUCUUCCUUGC